ACAUGAUGAAGGUGGAAAAGAGAUAGAUUCAGGUUUCCAAGCAAAAAGGGAAAAGAAGUCGCCCAAGAUCGGAACUUACCGGCAUCAUUACUGUGAGGAAGGAGAGAGGCGAAGAGCUACCCCAGCCGAGUGGCUUUGGAUCUGAGAUCAAAGCGUGCAAAUGGAAGAGUCAUGAUGCAUAGCUAAGACAAUUUAUAUCUAGGCAAGACAUAGUCAUGUCAAUAUAACAAGAAUUAUUU
rnacentral:lncRNA from 1 species